rnacentral:tRNA from 1 species
GGCGUUGCUUCAGAGUGGGAUCUGAGCGUGGCUGUAACCCACGUGCCUUCGGGCCAUGCGGUUCGAUUCCGUACGGCGCCA